rnacentral:rRNA from 1 species
AGAGUUUGAUCAUGGCUCAGAACGAACGCUGGCGGCGUGGAUAAGACAUGCAAGUCGAACGCUCAUUUCAGGGUAGCAAUAUUCUGAAGUGGGAGUGGCGCAAGGGUGCGUAACACGUGGGUAAUCUGCCAUAAAGUUUGGGAUAACUCGCUGAAAGGCGAGCUAAUACCGGAUGUGAGAAUCGGGAGGCCUCUCCUGAUCCUCAAAGCUGGGGACCGCAAGGCCUGGCGCUUUAUGAUGAACCCGCGGCCUAUCAGCUAGUUGGUGAGGUAACGGCCCACCAAGGCUAAGACGGGUAGCUGGUCUGAGAGGACGACCAGCCACACUGGAACUGAGACACGGUCCAGACACCUACGGGUGGCAGCAGUCGAGAAUUUUUCACAAUGGGCGCAAGCCUGAUGGAGCGACGCCGCGUGGGGGAUGAAUGGCUUCGGCCCGUAAACCCCUGUCAUUUGCGAACAAACCUUGCUAUUUAAAAGAUGGCAAGUUGAUGGUAGCGAAAGAGGAAGGGACGGCUAACUCUGUGCCAGCAGCCGCGGUAAUACAGAGGUCCCAAGCGUUGUUCGGAUUCACUGGGCGUAAAGGGUGCGUAGGUGGCGGGGUAAGUCUGAUGUGAAAUCUCCAAGCUUAACUUGGAAAUGGCAUUGGAAACUACUCUGCUCGAGGGUUGGAGGGGGGACUGGAAUACUUGGUGUAGCAGUGAAAUGCGUAGAUAUCAAGUGGAACACCAGUGGCGAAGGCGAGUCCCUGGACAACUCCUGACACUGAGGCACGAAAGCUAGGGGAGCAAACAGGAUUAGAUACCCUAGUAGUCC